CCUUCGAUGUCCUGGGCCGCACGCGCGUUACACUGACCAUUUCAACAAGUUCUUCCGUACCAGAAGUUGGUUCGGUAAGCUGAAAAGGUGGUCGUGAUGGGGAUAAUUCAUUGCAAUUAUUGAAUUUGAACGAGGAAUACCUUGUAGGUGCACUUCAUCAGAGUGCGCCGAAUACGUCCCUGCCCUUUGUACACACCGCCCGUCGCUCCUACCGAUUGGAAGGUUCGGUGAGAACUCAGGACAACAGCACUUUAGCUUAUCAGCAAUGGUAAGCGGGUGCAGUCGGAAUUUGUUCAAAACUCAUCUUCUAGAGGAAGGAGAAGUCGUAACAAGGUU
rnacentral:rRNA from 1 species